UCGGUGACAGGUGCUGCAUGGCUGUCGUCAGCUCGUGCCGUGAGGUGUUGGGUUAAGUCCCGCAACGAGCGCAACCCUCGUGCUAUGUUGAUUUCUCAUAGCAGACUGCCUUGUACAGCAAGGAGGAAGUGGGAUGACGUCAAGUCAGCAUGGCCUUUAUGCCCUGGGCUACACACACGCUACAAUGGGUGGGUACAGAGGGUUGCCACGGAGCAAUCCGGAGCGAAUCCCUUAAAACCAUCCUCAGUUCGGAUUGUAGGCUGCAAUCGCCUGCAUGAAGCCGGAGCUGCUAGUAACCGCAGGUCAGCUAUACUGCGGUGAAUACGUUCUCGGGCCUU
rnacentral:rRNA from 1 species